UGGGGAAUUUUGGACAAUGGGCGAAAGCCUGAUCCAGCCAUGCCGCGUGAGUGAAUAAGGCCUUCGGGUUGUAAAGCUCUUUUAGUCGGGAAGAAAGAGUUGCAGUGAAUAAUUGUGAUUUAUGACGGUACCGACAGAAAAAGCACCGGCUAACUACGUGCCAGCAGCCGCGGUAAUACGUAGGGUGCUAGCGUUAAUCGGAAUUACUGGGCGUAAAGGGUGCGCAGGCGGUCUUGCAAGUCAGAUGUGAAAGCCCCGGGCUUAACCUGGGAAUUGCGCAUGAAACUGCAAGGCUAGAGUGCAGCAGAGGGGAGUGGAAUUCCAUGUGUAGCAGUGAAAUGCGUAGAGAUGUGGAAGAACACCGGUGGCGAAGGCAGCUCCCUGGGUUGACACUGACGCUCAUGCACGAAAGCGUGGGGAGCAAACA
rnacentral:rRNA from 1 species